rnacentral:lncRNA from 1 species
AAUAAUUUAAGAAGCUGAAUAAUCGGUUAUUAUCUUUUUAGUAGUGUUAAUCUACUUUCUCCUAUGAUUUGUUUAUUAAUGUUCUGAGUGAACGGCAAUAAUUUAAGAAGCAAACCGUGAAUAAUCGGUUAUUAUCUUUUUAGUAGUGUUAAUCUUCUUUGUCCUAUGAUUUAUUUAUUUAUGUUCUGAGUGCUUCUCCAUGGCAUCGAAUAUAAAUCAUCAUAAUCCAAUGAAGAGAGGGAAAUUUGAAAAAAAUGACAAAAUGAAACUAAUCUAGCCUAGAAAAAGAUAAAAAGACAAUGAUUCACACAAUACAGAUCUUUCAAAGCUGUUUGUUGUCACCUAUAUUUUUCAAGAAAGAACAGUAACUACCUUCACUGGAGUCUCAGUACUAUGCAUUUUACUCCCCAGAAAAAGCUACUAAGGAGGUUGAUCACUAAGCUGAAGAGAUUGCAUCCCCAUAAAUUGGGGCUAAAACUACUCGCAGAUUGGGUUUUGCCUGAAAGAGUGAACGGAGAAAACGCUCCCCCAGAAGCAUAGAACCUUCUACCUAGCUAAUCUGCAAUGAAAAUUUCCAGAUAACUUGUAUGGAGCGUAGCCCUAGUAUUUUUCCAACAGAUAAGAUUGUCAAAGCUGCCUAGGCCUGAAUAACUUCGAAAAUGUCAGAUUGUGUAUAAAAUUAUAAACCAUAUCCCCAGUUUUCUUCCAAACGCAUCAAUCAAGUAGAGGCCUACAUGGUUAGUGCACUCAAUAUGGUCCUCAGUUUUACCCAGGAUCAGAUCCUACCAUAGGGUCCCUCCAAAACACAAGCUAACUAGAAAAAAGAAAAAAUUAGUUUUCGUUCAAACAGGCUCCACCACCCAAUCACCAUAAUGUCGGCUUGAGAAGAGCCAUACUUUAUCCUAACCAGUGUUUUAAAACUCAACAAUUUCCAAUCCACAUCAUCGAUUUAGAUGAGAAUCAAUUAAGACAAAACCAGUUCUGAAAUGGUAUGGGUCAUUGCCAUUUUCUCUCUAAAACCCCUCUUAUAUUUGUUUAUUUUUUUAGUUUAUUUAACAUUUCGUCCCCUUUGUGUCCCCACCCUAUAAACCCCUCUUAUAUUUGUUUCUUUUUUUAGUUUAUUUAACAUUUCGUCCCCUUUGUGUCCCCACCCUAUAAACCCCUACAUUAAUUUUUGUUAUUUUUUUAACCUUUUUUAGAUCAAUGAUUUAGACUAAUCUAGACCCUCUGUAGAUGAUCAAUUAAAUGGUAUGGAACUGUGGUUGAACGGUCUGCUCCACCAAUCUAGGUUUUGAAACACUCAUUCCAACAGCCAAUUGAAGGUUAUGGACAGUUCCGAUUACAUGCCGCAAGAUAUUUAUAUGAGCUCGCC